rnacentral:rRNA from 1 species
UACGGAGGAUGCGAGCGUUAUCCGGAUUUAUUGGGUUUAAAGGGUGCGUAGGCGGUCUCUUAAGUCAGCGGUCAAAGCCCGGGGCUCAACCCCGGCCCGCCGUUGAAACUGGCUUGCUUGAGUUGGAGAGAAGUAGGCGGAAUGCGCGGUGUAGCGGUGAAAUGCUUAGAUAUCGCGCAGAACCCCGAUUGCGAAGGCAGCCUGCCGGCUCCACACUGACGCUGAGGCACGAAGGUGCGGGUAUCGAA